rnacentral:rRNA from 1 species
CGCUGGCGGCGUGCCUAAUACAUGCAAGUAGAACGCUGAAGAGAGGAGCUUGCUCUUCUUGGAUGAGUUGCGAACGGGUGAGUAACGCGUAGGUAACCUGCCUGGUAGCGGGGGAUAACUAUUGGAAACGAUAGCUAAUACCGCAUGAAAUUGCUUAUCGCAUGAUAAUUAAUUGAAAGAUGCAAUUGCAUCACUACCAGAUGGACCUGCGUUGUAUUAGCUAGUUGGUGAGGUAACGGCUCACCAAGGCGACGAUACAUAGCCGACCUGAGAGGGUGAUCGGCCACACUGGGACUGAGACACGGCCCAGACCCCUACGGGAGGCAGCAGUAGGGAAUCUUCGGCAAUGGGGGGAACCCUGACCGAGCAACGCCGCGUGAGUGAAGAAGGUUUUCGGAUCGUAAAGCUCUGUUGUAAGAGAAGAACGGGUGUGAGAGUGGAAAGUUCACACUGUGACGGUAUCUUACCAGAAAGGGACGGCUAACUACGUG